GACGAACGCUGGCGGCGUGCCUAAUACAUGCAAGUAGAACGCUGAAGCGAGGAGCUUGCUCUUCUUGGAUGAGUUGCGAACGGGUGAGUAACGCGUAGGUAACCUGCCUGGUAGCGGGGGAUAACUAUUGGAAACGAUAGCUAAUACCGCAUAAAAUGGAUUAUCGCAUGAUAAUCCAUUGAAAGGUGCAAAUGCAUCACUACCAGAUGGACCUGCGUUGUAUUAGCUAGUUGGUGGGGUAACGGCUCACCAAGGCGACGAUACAUAGCCGACCUGAGAGGGUGAUCGGCCACACUGGGACUGAGACACGGCCCAGACGCCUACGGGAGGCAGCAGUAGGGAAUCGUCGGCAAUGGACGGAAGUCUGACCGAGCAACGCCGCGUGAGUGAAGAAGGUUUUCGGAUCGUAAAGCUCUGUUGUAAGAGAAGAACGAGUGUGAGAGUGGAAAGUUCACACUGUGACGGUAUCUUACCAGAAAGGGACGGCUAACUACGUG
rnacentral:rRNA from 1 species